UGUACUUGAAUUUUGUGGUUGUAAGCAACCUGAUUUUAUGACCUGUCAUACAAACUUUACAGUCAAAUGACAAUCAGACAUGUGGUUUAGUAUAUCCAGGCAUAUCAAACAUUCAUACUUGAUCUACUUUAGAUGCUACUUGCAUUGGAAAAUACAAGCAUACUUGAGAGCAGAGAGUGCAAGAAUGACAUGCACUGGAACAAUACUGGAAUGUCGCACCAAAUUCAUUGGAGAGGGCUGAUACUUUACCAGACAUUCAGACAGCCAACAAAUGAGCCAAUUAUAACCAAAACAGGCAAGCUAAAAAGUGAACAAUCGUGAAAGCGGAGAAAAUGACUUGGAUGACUUUUCAUUCGCAGCUUUUUUACAUCCUGUGAAAAUAUGCAGAUAAUCUUUCAUUUCAAUCAAUCUUGUUAUUUCUUCAUCAGUCAAAAGAAAGAAAAGAGCAAAGCAUAGAAAACACAUAAAUCAGAUAACCAAGUAUUUGGAGAGAAAUGAAAUAUGAAUUUUUAUUCCACACUGAUUACUUUCAUAUUACAGGAGUUAAAGGAAUUUAAGAUUAAUGAAAUGCAGCGAAUUGAAACACUAGAAGCUAGAUAAGAACAAUUUUUUAAAAGAAAAAAAAAAGAAUUUCCUAACUGUCUCGGAUUUUCCCUAGCCGCUGACACUAAGAUGCAACUAAUCCUUCAGCGUGGCUCCUUAUCAAAAUAUGAAGUGUACGAUGAUGAUAGAUCAAACGGUCUCCAUUGAGAAGAAUACCACUAAGUUCAUAGAGGGAUACCCACGGCCGCUGUCUGCCAGACUGGCCUUUGUCCCAGGUCAGGCGACUUUAAAGGCACACAUGACUUCAGAGUUACAUAUUAAAGAUUUUAUAUUCAUUAGAAUUAUCAAGGUUCAAGUUUCAAGACUAUUUUGUCAUUUUCCAGACUCUUGGGUCCAACAAAUUCUUUUUUGUAUGCAUUUUCACAGAGAGAGGUGAAGGGUUUAUCAGAAAUGACAUAUGUUUUGUAGAAGGAUGCAUUGUACAUCGAAAUAUACAUAUCUGAUGAGGAAACAGAAAUUGAUAGUGUUGAUAUUAUAUCAACUGCCUUUUAUUUAAAAAAAAAUCAAAUACAAAGCAAAGAAUAAGCACAGCCUGUGUGCUAGAUAAAACUUGUGAUUUGUGUAACAAAGUUUAAGGUGUUGACGGAAAUGAAUAUGAAAUUCUAUAGGAAAAUAGAUUUCAUCUCUGAUAUUUAACUCAGCCACACAUAAAGAAGAAUAACUGAAGUCCUUGUGAAACCUGCAAAGUCUUUGCUCUGCAAGUCUGGGCUAAAAAAUAAACAUGUUCAUGUGAAAAUUUUUUGAAAUUUCUCUAUCUUAUGCAAAAUUGAACCUUAGUUUAUAUACAGUCUCAUCCAAAAGAAUGGAACUGUAGCAUGAUUAAGAUAAAAUUAUUUGACAGAAUAACCUAUUUUUAGUAUCAACAAGACCACCUUUCAUUGAUAUGGAGAAUCUUUUUCGUGUUUAGGAAAAUCAUUUUAAAAAUUUGUUUCCAGGCUGAUUAUAUGUUAUGAAACCUUGUUAAUUGAUAAACUCCUUUAGUCUUCUUUCUUCAACAAAAUCAAUAUUAAAGGUAUAAAAUACUUUACAACAUUUAAAGGAAAUGUCAUUAUGUGCUAUAUAAAGAAAUUCAAGAAUAUUUUAAUCCUCGCAAUUUUGAUUAUCACUGAUGGUAUAAAUAUUUUUUGUUCUUUUUUUAUAUUUAUUUUUUAAGAUUUUAAGUGAUUGCAUGCGGUACAAAUUCUUCUUGUCUAGUAGUUUUGUGUUGGAUUGUUAUAGUUAGUGCAUAAAGAAAAGAGGUUAUAUAUUUCUGUCUAUAAUUGCCUGUACCUCUUAAAUGAUUGUGCAUGUACCAAUGCAGAAAUAUUCACAGGAAGACAAAAAGAAAAAGAUUUUUUUUUGCUUCCCUCUGUAGUUUUCAAGCAGGUCAAUACUCUGUAAGCCAAGCUUUUGUUCUUAAAACUCCUUGGAUCUACAAUGAAUUAUUUUAAGUACUCAAAACACCAUCUGCCUCAAUUAUGUUAUGAUAUUUUAAAAAGCUUUUCUUGGAAUGCACGCUUGUCAGUAUUGAUCGUAAGCAUCAAGUGCAUCAACACAGACAUGUAGAAUCAGCCUCAUUAUAUCAUUGUUAAAUGAUGCUAUCUGACACUACAACAUUUAAUGCAGAUCCAGCCUUCAUCAGCCUAAUGCACAGAACUGUGUGGCAGCCGAGUUCAGACUAAAAUUUACAUGCCUCUAAAUGCUUUGUGCAGGAAAUAUAUCAUUAUAUGACUGGUA